rnacentral:rRNA from 1 species
UACGUAGGGGGCGAGCGUUGUCCGGAUUUAUUGGGCGUAAAGAGCGUGUAGGCGGCCAGGUAGGUCUGCUGUGAAAACUCGAGGCUCAACCUCGAGACGUCGGCGGAAACCAUCUGGCUAGAGUCCGGAAGAGGAGAAUGGAAUUCCUGGUGUAGCGGUGAAAUGCGUAGAUAUCUGGAGGAACACCGGUGGCGAAGGCGGCAUCCUGGACCGAAAUUGACGCUGAGGCGCGAAAGCCAGGGGAGCAAACGGG